GAGCAGCAGAGUGAAAGUCUGUCUCCUCACUGAUUACUGGAAUGGACUUGGCUGAUCUGGCUGGCUAAGUGAAUUUUUCAUCUCUCCUCAACAACACCUUUCUGCAAACCUCCCAAAGCUGCACACUGAAAUGAGAAGUACCAUGCUCUGUGUCAGGCACAACAGUGUCUCCUCCUAGAUUCUCCAAACAAGAUUAAAGUCCAUUUGCAGAACACAGAGCAGCCAAGCCUCCAAGUCUUUAGACAUGUCCCAGUGAAGGUCUGUAUACUGCAAUUUGCCUUUCAUU
rnacentral:snRNA from 1 species